rnacentral:rRNA from 1 species
UACGUAGGGUGCAAGCGUUGUCCGGAAUUAUUGGGCGUAAAGAGCUCGUAGGCGGUUUGUCGCGUCUGCUGUGAAAACUCGGGGCUCAACUCCGAGCUUGCAGUGGGUACGGGCAGACUAGAGUGCGGUAGGGGAGACUGGAAUUCCUGGUGUAGCGGUGGAAUGCGCAGAUAUCAGGAGGAACACCGGUGGCGAAGGCGGGUCUCUGGGCCGUAACUGACGCUGAGGAGCGAAAGCAUGGGGAGCGAAACAGG